GACGAACGCUGGCGGCGUGCUUAACACAUGCAAGUCGAACGGAAAGGCCCUGCUUUUGUGGGGUGCUCGAGUGGCGAACGGGUGAGUAACACGUGAGUAACCUGCCCUUGACUUUGGGAUAACUUCAGGAAACUGGGGCUAAUACCGGAUAGGAGCUCCUGCUGCAUGGGGGGGGUUGGAAAGUUUCGGCGGUUGGGGAUGGACUCGCGGCUUAUCAGCUUGUUGGUGGGGUAGUGGCUUACUAAGGCUUUGACGGGUAGCCGGCCUGAGAGGGUGACCGGCCACAUUGGGACUGAGAUACGGACCAGACUCCUACGGGAGGCAGCAGUGGGGAAUAUUGCACAAUGGGCGGAAGCCUGAUGCAGCAACGCCGCGUGCGGGAUGACGGCCUUCGGGUUGUAAACCGCUUUCGCCUGUGACGAAGCGUGAGUGACGGUAAUGGGUAAAGAAGCACCGGCUAACUACGUG
rnacentral:rRNA from 1 species